UAGGAGUCUGAGAUGACCUUGCACCAGAAGUGGAUGAGAGUUCCCAUCGGGGUCUGAUAAUAAUUCCGUGCUCCCUGGAAUCAAUCUGGGGAGGUCGAUUGACAUUUCCAUGAGUGAAGGGAACCAUGGCUGUGCCGUCCAGAACGGUGUUAUCAAAACCAACGAUGCUCGGGAGCGCUGUAAGUGCAGGAGAGUUCGCGCUAUGAGUGAGAAAGGGGGAAAGGCGUAUAGCCUGGUAUUCGGCCAAUUUUGUAGGAAGGCAUCCACUGCCGUGGCGUCUGGGUCCGGUCUCCAGCUGAAGAAUGAGGGGAGUUGAGCAUUCAGUCGGGAGGCAAAAAGGUCGAUGUGCAUCGGUCCUCAGAGUUGGUGGAGCUUCUGGAAUACUGUGCGAUUCAAUCGCC